GAUCGAUAUGUUCAGAAAUUAGAGCUUAAAAUGUUAUUUGGAAAAAAAAAAUCUUCUGUUUAGUUUUUGGAAACAUAACUUUAAAUAAUGUAGCAAUUAUUUAAUACUCCAAAUAUGCGGCACUCUUUAUAUAACGCUGAAGAGACAAAUGUACUGGAUAAGAAAAUUCAAAACAUGUUAUUUAAAAAAUAAUUUUAAGCAUAUAUAACUUGUAUACAUAUAUAUCAAUGUCAUUUCCAUCCAAUAUAAUAUAAUAUAUUGAACCUAAUUCUUUACUACCCACAAGGGGCUAAACAUAGAGGGGACAAACAAGGACAGACAAACGGAUUAAGUCGAUUAUAUCGACCCCAGUGCGUAACUGGUACUUAAUUAAUCGACCCUGAAAGGAUGAAAGGCAAAGUCGAUCUCAGCGGAAUUUGAACUCAGGACGUGAAGGCGGACUAAUGAUUCUGCCAGCUCGUCGCUUUACCUAUUUCUUUAUUACCCACAAGGGGCUAAACAUAGAGGGGACAAACAAGGACGGACAUAGUUAUUUAGUCGCUGACAUCGACCCCAGUGCGUAGAUGGUACUUAAUUAAUCGACCCCGAAAGGAUGAAAGGCAAAGUCGACCUCGGCGGAGUUUGAACUCAAAACGUAGCGGCAGACGAAGAACCGGUAAGCAUUUCGCCCGACGUGCUAACGUUUCUGCCAGCUCACCGCCAUAAUAUAAUAUAUUGAACCUGCUGUUGUUUUAGAAUCCCGAAAUGCAUUCUAGUUUUAAAAAAUAAUUUGAACCGCAUAAAACGAUAAACGAAUAUUUUUUUAGACUAAUAUUUGCAAGUGGUGUUGUUUCUCACAUUCAUUUUGCAAAAAAUGUAACAUUGUUUUCUUAUGUCUAUCCUUCUCGGUGGUUACCUAAUGAUCAUCGGUGCUAUUUAUUCACAUGACGAAAAUCUGAAAAUGUACUAUUACGAAGAAGAUAUUUACACACUUUGAAUUUUUUUCUUUAGCGUAUAUAUGUUUAAUAAGAUCAAUAUGAAAACUGAUUUGGAAUAGAAGCCGGAAACACCAGCUGUCCAAACAAACCUUGUUUAUCGUUAGAUAUAUAACCAUAUGUUCUUAGUUACUCUUUUACUCUUUUACUUGUUUCAGUCAUUUGACUGCGGCCAUGCUGGAGCACCGCCUUUAGUCGAGCAACUCGACCCCGGGACUUACUCUUUUUGUAAGCCCAGUACUUAUUCUAUCGGUCUCUACAUAUCAAAUUUGAGCGCAAUCGGAUGGAGGAUGCCCGAGAUCCUAGAAGACACACACACAUAGACAGAACAGAUUUUAUAUAAUAGAUAUGUUUAAUAUUGUCCAAUUUUGAUCCAUGUAAGUUUUGUUUACAUCUCAUCUUUUCUCGUCUGGUUUCCGUAAUACAUUCUUCAUAAAUCUAAUUUUAGCUAUAUCUCUUUGCUGCUACGUCAAGAUAUUUUUCAGACAUUCUGAGUACUUCACCUAUAACUUUGUGUCAUGUUCCAAAUAUUCUCAAAAGAAUUCUAUAUGUCUAAUACAGCAGUGGGAACCAUUGAUAAUCUUAAUUUAUUUCCCGGUAUUAAUCUUCACUGACGUUACUCUUUCUGACAUUUUUCAAAUUUAUUCUUACCCAUGUCAAUAUAUUUCACUUCUGAUUCAUCUUCACUCUUUCCUGAUUGCAUAUAUCCGCCAUUGUGUCACUUAGCUGUUUCAAGUAUAAUAUUCAUAUUUUGCUGACUCUCAUUUCUCACUGGUUAAUACUGGUUUUCCUUUGCUAAAUGUAGCUUGCUAACCAACCACAUGGUUUCGGGUUCAGUCCCACUGCGUGGCAUCUUGGGCAAGUGUCUUCUACUAUAGCCCCGGGCCGACCAAUGCCUUGUGAGUGGAUUUGGUAGACGGAAACUGAAAGAAGCCUGUCGUAUAUAUGUAUAUAUAUAUUUGUAUGUGUGUGUGUUUGUGUGUCUGUGUUUGUUCCCCUAGCAUUGCUUGACAAACGAUGCUGGUGUGUUUACGCCCCCGUCACUUAGCGGUUCGGCAAAAAGAGACCGAUAGAAUAAGUACUGGCCUUACAAAAAGAAUAAGUCCCGGGGUCGAGUUGCUCGACUAAAGGCGGUGCUCCAGCAUGGCCGCAGUCAAAUGACUGAAACAAGUAAAAGAGUAAAGCGUAAAGAGAGUAAUCUUAUUUUACAUACAAGAAGUUUCUGUUGCUUCGCUCACUAAACAAAGCGAAACGUUUUCUAUUUCCACACAGAAUUAUAUUCAAACCAAAAGCUAUCUAAGCCAGGGAUUAUAAUUCCUAUGCCAAGUAUUUACUCACAGAUGAACAGCUUUUAGCUUACGCUAUGUAACAGACAUAUACACUACUAGCAUUAUGACCCACAACGCCUGGUCAUAGUGCUAGUGCAUGCAUAUACAGCUGCCUGCGUGCGCACAUACACGCGAGUACUGUCCAAAUCCCCGAUCAAUCACAUAUAGCUAGCUGGCAUUUGAUUGGCGUAUCAAGUUUCGGGCCUUUUGAUUGGGUUUUGGAUAGAAAAUUCACAAAAAGGUCAUUUCUAUUGAUUUUUUAAUGGCUUUGCGGGGUGACUGGGGAAAUGUAAAGAUGUGUACGACCACCCUUGGGCGGUUUUAAAUUAUCAAAGAAGGUUUCAGCCCUCUAACUAAAGAAUUGUGGAUUUGUAUAAAGGACACACACACAGACAGACAUUUUGCCGUGUAUAUAUAGAGAGAUUUCGUUCUUUUCUUUAUGCAGAACGUCAUUCUGGUCAGAGAGAGACCAGCUGGAGCUGUUUCACUUCAUGAACUUCGUCAGCGACCGAGGACUUGCUUUAACUGACUAUAAGCUGUUAUUGUGAAUGCUUUAAGUAAUCCAACGAGACAUGUAUUUAAAUAGUAUACUAUAAAAUAUUUACAAGUGUCUUUGUGGAAAGUUACCUCAUUAAAACUAAUCGAAUUGUACAACUAGAUGUGUUAUAUGAGGAACCACACCAUGCUAGUGCCAGUACAGCAUAUAUAACAUUCGCCAUGAUAGAUCGCUAGCCACUAAACGUUUUUUUCUAUUUUCUCUGCCUGUUUAUUUCUGUAUUUCUUUCUGUCGAAGAGCGUAAGCACGAAACGUAAACGACUUUCUCUCUUCCCGAGCGUUAAACUAAUACAUCUGUUUCUUGUUUCCAUACCCGUCUUCGUCUUUUGUUAUAUUUUUUUAUGGUAAAUUCUUACUAUAUAACAUUUGCUUUUAUGUGUAUGUAUGUGUGAAGGUGUGUGUUAAUGCAUGUGUGUGUGUGUAUGUGUGUGAAAUCGGGCGUAUGAACUGUAUUUCUGCAUGUAUCAUCUGAUCCAAAUUGUUAACACGCAGGUUGUUACACCGGCGUAACACACAGCCUAGAACUACUAAUACGUCAGAAAUACUAACACCUUAGAAAAACUAAGUCUUCAGAAAUAGACUAUCCUCUUUUUAUCGAGCCCAAACAAUAUACAUGAAAUUGAUCGAAUACGAAAUUGAUCGAUAUAACAUCAAUAAUAUAAAUAUGAACUUUAUGUAUAGUUAAGUGACUUAAAGCAUGACUUCUUUGAACAACGAUCUGUGUGUAGUGAUUUCGGUAAUCUGUGAAUACAGAACCGUUCUGUCGUGUAUAUUUGUUAUUGCCUUUUAGCUGCAUAUUUCUGCAGAUUAUCAGUUCUAUGAUCAGAAGUUUUCCCAACAUAAACCCCUCCAGGUAUUAUAAAAAAAUAGUCUGGUUACAAUUAGCAACCAAACGCUGAAUAAGUUUAGUUCCACCGUAUUUUCCUUUUGCAGCAUUGUUGAUUUGCUGUCGCUUUGUCACAAAACCAACUUGACUGAGAAGAAUUCUGAUGCAAUUUAUCGAAGCUAGAAAAACAUCGUAUAUUAUAUUCUGCAGUGGAAUAUCUCGGAGAACAUCUAGUAGCUUGUUUCCUCUGUUAUAAAGUUAGGAUACGGUACGUCGUAGAAUAAAGGCGGCGAGAUGGCAGAAACGUUAGCACGCCGGGCGAAAUGCUUAGCGGUAUUUCGUCUGCCGUUACGUUCUGAGUUCAAAUUCCGCCGAGGUCGACUUUGCCUUUCAUCCUUUCAGAGACGAUUAAAUAAGUACCAGUUACGCACUGGGGUCGAUAUAAUCGACUUAAUCCGUUUGUCUGUCCUUGUUUGUCCCCUCUGUCUUUAGCCCCUUGUGGGUAGUAAAGAAAUAGGUAGUUCGUCUGUCUUGACGUUCUGAGUUCAAAUUCCGCCGAGGUCGACUUUGCCUUUCAUUCUUUCGGGGUCGAUUAAUUAAGUACCAGUUACGCACUGGGGUCGAUAUAAUCGACUUAAUCCGUUUGUCUGUCCUUGUUUGUCUUCUCUGUGUUUAGCCCCUUGUGGGUAGUAAAGAAAUAGGUAUUUCGUCUGCCGUUACAUUCUGAGUUCAAAUUCUGCCGAGGUCGACUUUGCCUUUCAUCCUUUCGGGGUCGAUUAAUUAAGUACCAGUUACACACUGGGGUCGAUAUAAUCGACUAAAUCCGUUUGUCUGUCCUUGUUUGUCCCCUCUGUGUUUAGCCCCUUGUGGGUAGUAAAGAAAUAGGUAUGUCGUAGAAAGGAGUGCUUGCCCUGGUUGUUGAAUGUCCUUCAUUAUCCCGUUUCUGCUGCUAUGUUGUCUGAGACUGAUACAGAGAAAUAUCAAUUCCUGCAAAAUGAAGCAAAUCAUCUAAGAAUUGACAAUAAUCAAAUGAAGCGAACCACACAAUGUACUUUUAUAUAUUUUGCCUUGGCUGGAUCGAUGAAUAUCAACGGUACGUAACAAACAUGUUUUACAAUAUAUAAUGGAACCUGCUGUUUGGCAGACGGGAAUUGAAUGUGUAUCCGUACUCAAAGCGUACAUUGUAUGCCAGUUUAUUUCGAAUGCACCUAAAAUGGCUAUUUUUCAGAUGGAAGGCUAUAUUCAUUCAUCUUCCUAAGCGUAAUUGGUGCUUAUUGUUGAGGACAGCAUCAUUGUUGUACUUCUUCUUCUUCUUCUUCUUCUUCUUCUUAUUAUUAUUAUUAUUAUUAUUAUUAUUAUUAUUAUUAUUAUUAUUAUUAUUAUUAUUAUUAUUAUUAUUUUUUUUUUUUUUUUUUUAUUAUUGAGUGAGAGUGCAGUUCAUGCCAUCAAAUUGACACUGGGGUAAAAUAUACGAAGCCCGGUAUACCCAUCAUGACUACCCGUCUGAUAAGGGUACACUAGGCACAUGCAUCACAACCAUAUGUGCGCGACAUGGUGAUCUCAUAUCAAGAUACACAGCACAUGACCUUGCAGGUGGGGCCCAGUUAGAAUUUUCUUCUGGUCGAGUAACCCAUCCUGCUCAAAAGGUCCCUGAAUAAGGGUUGUUUAAGGAUGUUGAACGAAACACCCAUGUUUCCAGAGGUGAAUUAUUCAAACCCCAAAGAAUCCCUCUCAACACAUGGCUAUGAUACACUCCACUACUUCUGCUCAUGAUCAGAGAUGCACAUAUCGUCAGCCACUAAGGGACAUGCUCAACUGGUUAAGGUCAAACAACUGAGAAGCAAAUCUGUGGUAUUGAGCAGAAUAUCUGCUGUAGCCCAUCUUAUUAUUAUUAUUAUUAUUACUUUUUUUUUCUUCUUUCAAAUUUUCUUCCAUUUCUUGCCGAGUGUCUUCCCGACUCCUAGGGCAAAGAAACUCAUAGUGUAUAUUGGUAGGCCAUUAAACCAAACUCAGUAGUUCGUUCAUUUUUUUUUUUUUUUUUUUUUUAAAGUUAAAUUAAAAUGCAUGAGCAGCAACAGUUCUCACAUCGACAAUGCUCUUCUCAAUACGUGUGAUGUACCAGUUAAGACAAUCUUUUGCACUUCUUGCAGGGAUGGUAAGCCAGGGAUCAUUCUCAUAUAAUUUUCGGUUCCCUUCUUGAUCAUUCCUAGUGCUCCUACGAUCACUGGUAUUGUAACCGCCUUGAGAUGCCACAUUUUCUCAAUUUCAAUGAGUAGGUCUUUAUAUUUUCUGAGCUUGUCAAACUCUUUCGCUGAGAUAUUAUGAUCACAGGGGAUGCUCAUGACGAUCAAUAAGCAAACUUUAUUGUUUUGGUCUUUCACAACAAUAUCUGGUUUAUUGGCCUUGAUGGUUCGGUCUGCAUGUACUGGAAAGUCCCACAGAAUGGUUACAUUUUCUCCUUUUGUUACAGCCUCAGGGUGGUGAUUAUACCACUUGUCGGCAGUUUUGAUAUUGUAAUGCCGACUUAUUAGCCAGUGGAGAUAUUGGCCAACUCUGUCAUGUCUUAAUUUAUACUCCACUGGUGCUAAGACUUUACAUCCAGAGAUUAGGUGGUCCACUGUUUCAAUCAUGUCGUUGCAGAAUCGGCAUUUUGGUUCUGCUCCAUUUUUCAUCACAUUGGCCUGGUAGUUCCGUGUUAAUAGGCUUUGAUCUUGAGCAGCCAGGAUGAAACCUUCGCUCUCUGCUUUUAGCCCUGAGCUCCGCAGCCACUGAUGGGUUUGCUUCUGGUCAACAUCAGCUUGUUUGCUGCGGGUAUUAUUAUUAUUAUUAUUAUUGGCCCUUUUAGUAUCCUUUCUGUUGCAAAUUGCCAGGUUCUAUUCCAAUCAAUCUCAUCUUUAUUCUUCAAGAAUCGAUUGUGCCUUUUCUUGUCCUGCCAAAUUUUCUCCAUCUGCUCUCUCAGGUCUUGCUUAAAUUGUAUUUGGAUUUACGGCUUCGUGCAAUUUAAAGAUUCUCUGCAUUAUCACUGCUUCAAUUAUUUCUUUUUACUCCCUUUGACAUACCAAGUCAGGCUAUUCUCCUCUUAUCUUACACAACCUUCACAAUACACUAAUCUCCGUUCUCACUCUCUCUCCUUUACAUACAAUCUCGAUACACCACUCUUCGGGUGUAUUUCCUUGUUCAUUGUCAUUAAUUUAUAUGUUCUCCGGUCUAUCUCUUGUAAUUCAUACUUCUUCAAAGAUACUAUUACUGCCCUAUAUCUCAUCAAAGCAACCGUGAUAAUUGCUCUAACCUUAUAUAUUUCUUUACUACCCACAAGGGCCUAAACACAGAGGGGACAAACAAGGACAGACAAACGGAUUAAGUCGAUUACAUCGACCCCAGUGCGUAACUGGUACUUAAUUUAUAGACCCCGAAAGGAUGAAAGGCAAAGUCGACCUCGGCAGAAUUUGAACUCAGAACCUAGCGGCAGACGAAAUACGGCUACGCAUUUCGCCCGGCGUGCUAACGUUUCUGCCAGCUCUAACCUUAUAGCGGCCAUUUAGCUUCGAUUGGAGUACAAGCCGAGUUUUUCUCGAAUACUCUUUCCUGUACAGUUCUCUCAUCUUGUGUUCAUUCAUCUUAUUUCUUUCAAUGAUACCCAGGUACUUAUAUCCUUCCUCUCCGACUUCCCUUAUAGUUUCAACACUUUGCAGCUUGAUCUAUUGGCUUUUAUUAAUUUCCUACCUUUUAAGAAUCAAUACACCACAUUUCGUGAUCCCAAACUCCACACCAUUUUUUUGCUAAACAUCUGCACAGUUGCCGUCCAAACUCUCGAUUUCUUUGUCAGUCUUAGCGAAUAGCAUUAGGUCAUACAUAAACCACAGAUUGCUUACUUUCACCCUGCCUAGCACGUAACCCACACCCAUCUUUCUUAAAACGCUCGUUAGUGGCAGUAUACAGACAACAAAUAGGAGAGGCAACAGACUAUCCCUUUGAAAGAUUCCACUUUUGAUAUUUCCCUCUCUCAUCUUAUCUUCCCAUGCUGUGAGUUCAGUUCGCAACGUUGUCAUAGAGUUUUGUAUUAAUUUCAUGAUUUUGCGGGCUUCUUUAAGCAGUUUCAGUCAUUCAAAGUCUAUGAGUGUUGGACCAUGUCACAUGUACUUCUGUAGUCCACCCACGCACUCGCCAAAUUUUUGUCUUUUCUUGCAAUCAGCCAACAUAGUUUUAUCGAUUAGCAAUUGUUCGUUCAUUAUUAUUAUUAUUAUUAUUAUUAUUAUUAUUAUUAUUAUUAUUAUUAAUACUAUUAUCAUUAUUAUUAUUAUUAUCAUCAUUAUCAUUAUCAUUAUUACUAUUAUUAUUAUUAUUAUUAAUAUUAUUAUUAUUACUAUUAUUAUUAUUUUUUUUAUUAUUAUUACUAUUGUUAUUAUUAUCAUUAUUAUUAUUAUUAGUGUUAGUAUUUUUAUUAUUAUUAUUACUAUUGUUAUUAUUAUCAUUAUUAUUAUUAGUGUUAGUAUUAUCGUAUUAUUACUACUAUUGUUAUUAUUAUUAUUAUUAUUAUUAUUAUUAUUAUUAUUAUUAUUAUUAUCAUCAUCAUCAUCAAAACACUCAGCUUAGGCCGGCUGUGAGGUGAUUUAGUCAUAUAUUUCCUGUUACCUUUCUUAUUCUCUCCCUUGACACUCUUCUUUUUCUUCUUGAUGUUGUUGUUCUUCUUUCUUUCUUUCUUUCUUUCUUCCUUCUGUAUCUGUUUUGUUGAUCUUUCUUAAUACCGUAGUUUCUCCCGUUUUAUGUUAUUUUCGCUUGCUUAAUGCAUUCUGUUAUCGAUUGUCUCUUUAUUCGCUUAUUACAACAGUAUUGGUUGCUAAUGUUAUAUAUCGCCAAGAGUAAUAUUACAUCCUUAGCUCCUUUUGCAUGAUCUUUCAAACGCCGUUGCAUUAGACGUUAUAGAAUUUACAAUCGAAGAAUAUCGUGGGAAAAAGAUUCUCAGUAUUAUACGAUAUAUAUUUUCUCGAAUUGGUAAGUAAUAAAUAACAGUUCCUUUCAUAGAUUGAUUCGCUUUUCAGGAAUACGAGCUUGAGAAUUGAUAAGAUUCUUCAAUAAAGCAGAAUAAAAUAUAUGUAUUUAAUACAUAUUUAGAUGUUAUGUUAGUGGAGUGGCAUUGGUUCAAUAAGAGAAAUGAUACCCUUUGGAAUUGCUCAAUGUAUAAAAUAAGGGCUAAACUUUUGAUAAAUGAGUAUAGGGUGCAGUACCAAUCCAUUGGACAUGAAUUCACUUCUUUCAAAUUAAUGUUCUUUGGUUGGAAUAAGGAACACUUAACGCUUAAAUUAUCUCUUGUAUUAGAAGCUAAGCUCCUUGUGGUACCUGAAAGGUAAAAAUAUGAGAGGGAAUAUAAUAGAAAGCGAACAAAAGCAGAAUUAGUGAGAUUCAGGUAUUCCUGUUUCGAAACUACUAAUGUUUACAUUUAAUGACAAUUACCAUCAAAGAGAGGUGAGGAGUCAUAGAAUUAUAUCCAGGACAGAACCACAUACGUUACGUUACCUUACGAUCUAUACUAGAAGUUUGUGAUUCAAGUAGAAGAGCAGCAAUUUUAUGGGAGGGAUGUACUUGAGUCCAAUAUCAACUUCGGAGAUGUGGAAGAAAAUGUUUGCCUCAACAAUGUUUGAACGCAGUAUGUAAAUAUCUAAAAUAAAAGCCUAGACCUUCUUAAAUUAAGGUACGUAAAACAUAUUCAUCUGUGUUAGACGAAAAAUAUUUCGUACCUCAUGGAUACUUAAAACAAAUGUAAAUUCAAAUAUAACAUAAGAAGCAACUGGUCGUACAAAACGAAAGCCUCGAAAAGUGAGUAUUACGCGCUGCCAUUCGAGUGAGUAUUAUGCAUAUCUUCCCUUCACUCUUAUGCAUGUCUUCCCUUCAAUCUAGAAAACUGCAAAUAAUUGCAUAGUAACUAUUCGAUUGUAUCGUAAAACAAAUUAAAACCUGUCAUUUUCUCUGAGAUAGAAUUUAAGACGCAAGGAACAUUAUAUAAAUAUAUAUAUAUGAGAGAGAGAGAGAGAGGGAGAGAGAGAGAGAGAGGGAGAGAGAGAGAGAGAGAAAUAAGAUGUCAAAAUGUUUCUAAUUUCUUUCCAUUUUCACAGCUUUUAACAGAUGUCUGUUUUCGAAAAGUAAUAUGUCUGUGAGAAAUGACAAAACUUCACGCAUGGAUUUCUAAAUGUAGGUGCAAGGCUGGCAAUUGGAUUGCGACAUGACUGCAUAAAUAAGCUGUAUAUACUAUAACUAGGCAAAUUUUUCACUAUAUCAGAAAACACACGCUUGUUUUGCACAAUGUAUCCAAAUCUAAAACGUUACAUCUAUAUACCAAAAAUGAGUAAAUGGCCUUACAGAGGUAAAGUCUUAUAAAACCAAAAAUUCUCUGACGUAUAUAUAUGCCCCAUAGGGUGAAGUCCCGUGGCUUAGACGGUAAGGUAUCCAGAUCACGACCGUGAGGUCGGGAAUUCAAUUAUAUGUGACGCGUUGUGUCUUUGAGCAAAACAUGAUUUCACGUUGCUACUGUCUAUUCCGCUGGUAAUUUCAAAGGGCCAGCCUUGUCAGACUCUGUGUCACGCUGAAUCACACUGAGAACUACGUUAAGGAUAUACGUGUCUGUGGAGUACUCAACCACUUGCACGUUAAUUUCGCGAGCAAACUAUUCCGUUGACCGGAUCAACUGGAAAACUCGUCACCGUAACUGACGGAGUGCCAUGUGCCCCACAGUACGGAACACCGGUUCGUCACAGAAUUACCCAGUUGUUUUUUCUCUUCCGGGUGAGCGGACUGGAGCACCGUGAAAUGAAGUGUCAACGCAACGCAACAACUACUCCAAGAGACAAAUCCACAAUUUUACGAUCAUGCACGCAGCACCUUCAACCACUAAACUACGCGCGUCCACUGGAAAUGCGAGAGAGAUUUGAAUCGUUGAUGUAACAAUGAUGUUCUGAUGAGCUUGCUUUCUUCAUCUGAAUUGAUUUCUCAAUAGAGAGUCAUGUUGUAUAAUGCAUGACAUGCAUAUUAGAGCAUACAUGUAAACAUAAUUUUAUUCCACAUAGAAAUUAUUAGUACACGAAGAACGCUUUGGAGGGAGGCUGUAAUCUUAAGGAAGUUCUGUGUGUUACAGGAGAGAUCCGUUUUCCAACUAGGCAUGCUGUUCUUAAUUAGUGCACACACGUUCUCAGUUAUUCCACGCAUGUCAAGCGUUUCCAAAAUCUACGAAUGCGGGAACGUCGAAAGCAUUUUAAAAAUCUAUCCAAGCCACACACAAGUCUUUUUUGUUACCGUUUUCAGUUCUUCAUUAUAACCUUCUCUAUCUCAAGGUAGUCCUUCUUAACCUUGCAUCCCACUCCGCAUCCCUUUUGUUCUACUGAUAAAAGAUUGCUUUCCGCAAGUAACAUAUAUAUAUAUUUUCCCUGCUAGGAUACCUGUCAAUACUUUCCAUAGGAGGUUAAAACAAGCAAUGGGUCGGUUAUUUCCAAGCUCAUUGCCCAUAUUAUUAUUAUUAUUAUUAUUAUUAUUAUUAUUAUUAUUAUUAUUAUUAAGGCGGCAAAUCGUUAGCGCGCUGGACAAAAUGCUUAGCGGUUUUUCGCCCGUCGCCACGUUCUGCGUUCAAAUUCUGCCGACGUCAACUUUGUCGUUAUCGAUGAAGUAAGUGCCAAUGAAACAAUGGGGUCGAGGAUAUCGAAUUUCCCCCUCCUCAAAAUACAACUCCCCUAAAUAUGUCUCCACCUAAAAUGACUCCCGUAAGUAUAAUUCGCACUAAACAUAGCCAAAUUUGAAUCCAUUAUCAUCGUCAUCAUCAUUAUUAUUAUUAUUAUUAUUAUUAUUAUUAUUAUUGAGUGAGCGAGCAGAGCAUGCCAUCAAAGUGACACUGGGGUAAAAUAUACGAAGCCCAAUAUACCCAUCAUGACUACCCGUCUGAUAAAGGGUACACCAAGCACAUGCAUCACAACCAUAUGUACGCGACAUGGUGAUCUCAUUAUUAUUAUUAUUAUUAUUAUUAUUAUUAUUAUUAUUAUUAUUAUUAUUAUUAUUAAUAAUAUCAUUAUUAUUAUGAUUAUUAUUAUUAUUAUUAUUAUUAUUAUUAUCAUCAUCAUCAUUACUAUUAAUAUUAUCAUUAUAAUUAUCACUUAUUAUUAUCAUCAUUAUUAUUAUCAUCAUCAUCAUCAUUAUUAUUAUUUUUAUUAUCAUCAUCAUCAUCAUCAUCACAAUAAUAAUAAUUAUUAUUGUUAUUAUCAUUAUUAUUAUUAUUAUUAUUAUUAUUAAUAUUUUUCAGAAUAUCCGAAAUGAAGUGAAAAGAAAUGCUACUGAGACUAUGAUAUUACAAAGAGUAAAAUAUAUGAGGUAGGUGCGAAAUAUUUCCCUAAAUAUUUGAUACUGUCCACUGGAUGAAAUUGAAACAUGAGAUGACAUGUGAUAUGAACUUACUUUCCCCUUUGAGUGAUAUGAA
rnacentral:lncRNA from 1 species